rnacentral:rRNA from 1 species
AUUGAACGCUGGCGGCAUGCCUUACACAUGCAAGUCGAACGGUAACAGGUUAAGCUGACGAGUGGCGAACGGGUGAGUAAUGUAUCGGAACGUGCCCAGUCGUGGGGGAUAACUGCUCGAAAGAGCAGCUAAUACCGCAUACGACCUGAGGGUGAAAGCGGGGGAUCGCAAGACCUCGCGCGAUUGGAGCGGCCGAUAUCAGAUUAGGUAGUUGGUGAGGUAAAGGCUCACCAAGCCGACGAUCUGUAGCUGGUCUGAGAGGACGACCAGCCACACUGGGACUGAGCCAGGGUCCAGACGCCUACGGGAUGCAUCAGUGGGGAAGCGGCCGCAAUGGGCGAAAGCAUGACCGUGCAAAGGCGCGGGAGUGAGGAGGGUCUGCGUAUCGUAAAACUCUGUUAGGAGGGAAAAACAAAUGUGUAAGGAACGAUGCACGUCUGGACGGUGACGAAAUAAACAGCAACGGCUCACUACGUG